UGGGGAAUCAUGGUCAAUGGGCGAAAGCCUGAACCUGCGACGCCGCGUGAGUGAUGAAGGUCGUAAGAUCGUAAAACUCUUUUCAGGGAUCUUAAAGCCUGUCUGUCAACAACAGGCAGGUCUGACUCUCCCUGGAAGAAGCCCCAGCUAACUACGUGCCAGCAGCUACGGUAAUACGUAGGGGGCGAGCGUUAUUCGGAAUUACUGGGUGUAAAAACUCAGGGCUUAACCUUGAGCUUGUGCCCAAUACUGCAAGUCUAGAGAGCAGGAGAGGGAAGCGGAAUUCCCGGUGUAGGGGUAAAAUCCGUAGAGAUCGGGAGGAACACCAGCGGCGCAGGCGGCUCACUAGACAGUUUCUGACGCUAAGAUACGAAAGCGUGGGGAGCAAACA
rnacentral:rRNA from 1 species